CCGGGUUUGGUAGGUGACGCAAACUUUGCUGCUGUUCACUGAUUGGCGGAGGGCGUGGUCAGAAGAGCGAGGCGAAGAGAAGAAAAAUGAAGGCGCAACGUUUGAAACUCGCUGCAACACGGAAGUGAUGGAAGAUACAAACAAGCCAUGAACUAAAAGAUGCCGGCUUUUUUCUUUCGGAUUUCAAUAUUCAGCCGGCAGCUCGAUGGAGCUGUGAGGAAUGAGUCGCUUUUAUCACGUAGUGGAGAGAAUGGAAAGCCUCGUUAGCCGCUUCAGAGCCGACGGUGAACACCGACUCAGACGCAGCUAACGCCGCUGCUGCUGUCCAGCCAGGGAGCAGAAGGAGAGCAACAUGGCUGACAUGAUGGAGAACCAUCACAACACCUGGAUCUCCUUCAGCAGGAAGCAGCUACCAGCUGAUGGCAGAGCAACAAGGAGAGUUGAGACAAACAAAAGAAAAAUAAAAGUUGUUGUGUCUCAGUGAA